GACGAACGCUGGCGGCGUGCUUAACACAUGCAAGUCGAACGGAAAGGCCCUGCUUGCAGGGUACUCGAGUGGCGAACGGGUGAGUAACACGUGGGUGAUCUGCCCUGCACUUCGGGAUGAGCCUGGGAAACUGGGUCUAAUACCGGAUAGGAGCCAUUUUUAGUGUGAUGGUUGGAAAGUUUUUUCGGUGUAGGAUGAGCUCGCGGCCUAUCAGCUUGUUGGUGGGGUAAUGGCCUACAAAGGCGGCGACGGGUAGCCGGCCUGAGAGGGUGGACGGCCACAUUGGGACUGAGAUACGGCCCAGACUCCUACGGGAGGAAGCAGUGGGGAAUAUUGCACAAUGGGCGCAAGCCUGAUGCAGCGACGCCGCGUGGGGGAUGACGGCCUUCGGGUUGUAAACUCCUUUCGCUAGGGACGAAGCUUUUUGUGACGGUACCUAGAUAAGAAGCACCGGCUAACUACGUG
rnacentral:rRNA from 1 species